rnacentral:rRNA from 1 species
UGAACGCUGGCGGCAGGCCUAACACAUGCACGUCGAGCGGAUGAAGGGAGCUUGCUCCUGGAUUCAGCGGCGGACGGGUGGGUAAUGCCUAGGAAUCUGCCUGGUAGUGGGGGAUAACGUCCGGAAACGGGCGCUAAUACCGCAUACGUCCUGAGGGAGAAAGUGGGGGAUCUUCGGACCUCACGCUAUCAGAUGAGCCUAGGUCGGAUUAGCUAGUUGGUGGGGUAAAGGCCUACCAAGGCGACGAUCCGUAACUGGUCUGAGAGGAUGAUCAGUCACACUGGAACUGAGACACGGUCCAGACUCCUACGGGAGGCAGCAGUGGGGAAUAUUGGACAAUGGGCGAAAGCCUGAUCCAGCCAUGCCGCGUGUGUGAAGAAGGUCUUCGGAUUGUAAAGCACUUUAAGUUGGGAGGAAGGGCAGUAAGUUAAUACCUUGCUGUUUUGACGUUACCAACAGAAUAAGCACCGGCUAACUUCGUG